rnacentral:rRNA from 1 species
ACCCGCUGAACUUAAGCAUAUCAAUAAGGCGGA